rnacentral:rRNA from 1 species
UACGGAGGGUGCAAGCGUUAUCCGGAUUCACUGGGCUUAAAGGGUGCGUAGGCGGGCAGGUAAGUCAGUGGUGAAAUCUCCGAGCUUAACUUGGAAACUGCCGUUGAUACUAUCUGUCUUGAAUAUUGUGGAGGUGAGCGGAAUAUGUCAUGUAGCGGUGAAAUGCUUAGAUAUGACAUAGAACACCAAUUGCGAAGGCAGCUCGCUACACAUAUAUUGACUCUGAGGCACGAAAGCGUGGGGAGCAAACAGG